AGGAGGCUGAGGCAUGAGAAUCGCUUAAACCUCGGAGGCGGAGGCUGCAAUGAGCUGAGAUGGUGCCACUGCACUCCAGCCUGGGUGACAGAGCUGGGUGGUGGCUCAAGAUAUGUUUUGUAAACCUGAAGAUUUGAGAUCAUAUAAGCCAAAUCGAAACUUAAUUGGCAUUCAUAACUUUUGGUUCUAGAGACUCCAUGAUCAACUAAGAGCCACCAAACAUUUCCCAUGUAGACUAUUUUGACCAUGCUGACUCUACUGACACUGUGGUUACUGAAUUCACUUUAUCUCUAGAAAUUAAUUCUUACUAAUGGAUGUCUGUCACUGUAAGAUCCUUCUCUCCUCUGAAAUAAGGAGAACAUUUUAACUUCAGUAGUUUAAACUAGUGUCCUAAACUAUAGCAUUCAAAAUGAGAUAAUAUGCUAAAGUAAUACACAAACCAAAAAUCCCAGUGGCUAACACAAAAAGUUUUUCUUAUUCAUUUUACAUAUCCAGGGUAAGUCAGUAAUAGACGCAGACACACCCAGAGACCAAGGAUGAGUUGUGAUCUGUCUGCACACAUAGUUCACAAUGCCUGAACUUGCUAUAAUUCUGUGAGAGAGCUAUAAAAGUCUGCUCAGAAACAUUAUAAUGUAAAAUGGACAGAGAAGGACAAUGAGAUAUUUAAUUUGCCACGGCAAAGCCAUUGCUGUGAAGAAUGGAUAAUAUAUGUCAAUGGUAAUAUAUGAAGAAAUAACACAGGUGAAUAGCAGAGGCAAUAAAUCUGUUUUUACCACAGGACUUGUCUUACACUUUUCUCUUAGUAAUAAAUAAAAUAAUUUUCGACCAGAUGGAGCUGGCUUGAAAUCCUCUUGUUUAUGGCAGUACAUAUCGGUUAUGAUUCAAAAAAUAUAGCCCAUUUCCAAAAACCUGCAACAAAGAGAUACUUUCUCAGUCCUGCAGGCUGUACAGGAAGCACAGUGGCAUCUUCUUCUGGAGAGGCCUCAGGGAGCUUUUACUCAUGACAGAAGGCAAAGCAGGAGCAGGCACUUCACAUGGUGAAAGCAGGAACAAGAGAGAGAGAGUGUGUUGGGGUAGGUGCACUACCAUGGAGACAGCACCAAGUCACGAAGGAUUCGACCUCAUGAUCCAAACACUUCCCACCAAGCUCCACCUUCAGCACUGGGGAUCUGGUUUCAACAUGAGAUUUGGGCGGGACAUCCAAACUAUAUCAUCUGUCUCCCUCAUCCAAGACCAUGUGAUCCGUAGCUCACUUUUGUCUAGCAACAGAUUAAAUACAGCAUUUUCUGUGUGAUAUCUUUGUUGAGGUCUUUGCAGAUGGCUGUUUCUUUGUCCUGAAACUUUCUUCAUCUGCUCUUUCAAAAUGAGUGACUCUUCAUCCUCGAAGUCUAUGCUUAUAUAUUGCUUUUCAGAGGAAUCUUUUCUGAACUGGGCAUUCUGCCUUCAACCAACUAUUUUCUAUUAUAGUUUCCUGUUUGUGAGUUAAUAGUCCUUUUGAAAAUUUGACUACUCAUUUACCUUCUUGGGUUAUUUGAAAUUAUCUCCUCUUCACUAGAUUCUAUAGAAGCAUAGCCAUGCCUGCCCUCUUUACUGUUUCUCUACUGACUUGUUGCAAUGAAUAUUGUCAGUAAACAUGGAAAUAAAUCAGUUAUUCAGAUAUCCUACCUUGGUGCUUGCUUAGAUAACUCCACACUGUGAUGCCUAAUGACCUACACAGGGCUUUCUAGCAAGGAGUGACUUUCUUUCUGCUACGUGUAAUAAUGAUCCGUCAACUUAAACAUAUAGUUAUAUUUCCAGCAGACGGUUUCUUGAAACUAAUGUCCAGGGUGUAGUUAUUCAAAAAAGCAAACUCUUCUCUUGAUUUCUGCCAUACAUUGGUACUCUUUCUCUCUCCCUUUUUUAUUUUAUUAUUUUUUUUUGAGACAGAGUCUCACUCUUUCACCCAGGCUGUGGUGCCAUCCCAGCACACCCUGCAACCCAUUGCCUCCCAGAUUCAAGCGAUUCUCCUGCCUCAGCCUCCCUAGUAGCUGGAAUUACAGGCAUGUGCCACCAUGCCUGACUGAUUUUUUGUAUUUUUAGUGGAGACGGGAUUUCACCAUGUUGUUCAGGCUGGUCUCAAACUCCUGACCCCUAGUGAUCCAUCUGCCUCAGCCUCCUAAAGUGCUGGGAUUACAGGCGUGAGCCACCCCGCUCGGCCUACUCUUUUAUUUCUGUUUUGUCUUUCCUUUCUCAAGAAAGAAAACAAACCAAAACCAAAACAGUUUGGAAGACUUUAUAGUAUUCAUCCAUACAAAAGAACAAGAUCAUGUCCUUUGCAGGAACAUGGGUGGAGCUGGAGACCAUUAUCCUCAGCUCCACCCAUCCUCAGCUCCCACUAACGCAGGAACAGAAAAACAAAUGCAGCAUGUUCUUAUUUAUAAAUGUGAGCCAAGUGAUAAGAACACAUGGACUCAUAGAGGAGAACACCACACACUCGGACCUACCUGAGAGUAGCGGGUGGGAAAACGGAGAGGUUGAGGAAAAGUAACUAAUGGGUACUAAGCUUAAUACCCGGGUGACAACAUAACCUGUACAACAAAUCCCCAUGACACGAGUUUACCUGUAUAACAAACCUGCACGUGUACUGCUGAACUUAAACUAAAAGUUAACAAAAGGCCAGGUGCAGUGUUUCACACACGUAAUCCCAGCACUUUGGGAGGCUGACAUGGGUGGAUCACCUGAGGUCAGGAGUUCAAGACCAGCCCGACCAACUAAAUACAAAAAGUUAGCUAGAUGUGGUGGCAGGUAAUCCCAGCUCCUCUGGAGGCCAAGGCAGGAGAAUCGCUUGAAUCCAGAAGGCAGAGGUUGCAGUGAGCCGAGAUUGUGCCACUGCACUCCAGCCUGGGCAAUAAGAGUGAAACUCUGUCUCAAAAAAAAAAAAAAAAAAAAAAAAAAAGUUAACAAAACGUUCUUCUCUAGUUCUAAAGCACCAACACAGAGGUGAUCAAAAUACUCUAAGAAGCACUGGGAAACAUUGAGGGGAUGGUUCAAACAUCAGAGCUAAGGCCUAAUUUCCCAACAGUCAUUAUUUCUGUGGUAUUUUGCAUAUUAGAGACGUAUAGGUUCCUCACCUAAUCCUUGUUUUUUCAUUUUAUUUUUAAUACAUAUGAAAGUCAUAAUAACAAAAAAAAUUCAUACAUCAGCAGCUCAGCUAGAAAUAAAAGUCUCAAUCUACUGGAAGCCCCUGUGAACUUGUAUCAAAUUCCUUUCUCUCUUCAUAGAGGAAAUAAUGACUCCCAAAAUGUGGUAAUGAACAAAUAUCUCUAAUUGUUUAAAAUUUAGUAUAUGUGCAAGUCUCCACAGACACAAUCAUGAUCAUAUAUUUUUAGAAGUUAAAAACGUGUCUAUCAUCAGGGCGUGGUGGUUCAUGCCUGUAAUCCCAGCACUUUGGGAGGCCUAAGUGGGUGGAUCACCUGAGGUCAGGCGUUCAAGACCAGCCUGGCCGACAUGGUGAAACCCUGUCUCUACUAAAAAUACAAAAGUUAGCCAGGCGUGGUGGAGGGUGCCUGUAAUCCGAGCUACUCAGGAGGCUGAGGCAGGAGAAUUGCUUGAACCCGGGAGGCGGAGGUUGCGGUGAGCCAAGACCACGCCACUGCACUCCAGCCUGGACAACAGAGCAAAAACUCCGACUCAAAAAAAAAGUGUCUAUCUACCUUCUGCUUUAUUUUGUUUUAUAUGACAUUGAUGAUGUCCAUCUAUGUUGGCCCAUAUAAUUCUUAUCAAUUAUUUUAAAUGCUGUUUAGCAUUGUACUAUAUAAAAAUAUCAAAACACAGCUCCCUUUUGUUCAUUAUAUUGCCAUUUAGUUUUUUUCUCAUUUUUUGCUAUUUCAACAAAAAGCUGCUAUGAAUGUGUAUGUGUGUAUAUAUAUAUUAAAUGUGUAUAUAUAUGAAUGUAUAUAUAUAUACACAUAUAUAUGUCAGAGUUUCUCUAGGAUAUAAACCCAGGAACAAAAUUUAAAAAUCAUAGGGUGUAUUGGAUCUUACAUCACUGCAGACCCUCUCAGCAUUACCUCUUGUUCCAGUCAGAGCCUUGGUUACUAUUUUUAUGUAGACUUUGGUCAGUUUCAUAAAGAUGGAAGUGAUAGUAUGUGGCUUCAGACCAGAGCAAGAAUUCACUUUCUGCUGUGGGAUUUCUCAGACAAUGUUGUGUGGAUUGUUGUAGGCAUUUUGCUUGUUACUCAUAAAUGCACUGUCUAGACACAUCGAGAAGUUAGCAUCCAUGAGGCUAUGCUUGAAAAAUGGAACUCCUAGAGCUGAUGGAUACAUAUUUCCCCCGUUGUUUCACUUCAGUGAAUGGUCAUAUAGUAUUCCAUCACCUAACUUAAUAAUGUGUUCUAGAUUUUACUCUCUCUCCCUAUAGCACCCAUCCUGUUUCUUAUUCUUACUCCACAAUACACUCCCAACUUAAACACACAGUCUCUUCUUUAGGUGUUGGGGGUUGGGAGUUAUUACAAGAUGACAUGGUGUAUGCAUUUAUUUCUUUGUCUACGUUGAUUGCACUGAUUUACAGUCUCACCAGCAGUUCAUAAAAUCCUUCCUUGCAGCUAAGAUAUGGGCACAAGACUAAAAUUUAUAUCUUUAGCUGAUAUCUCAUUCCUGAACACUCAUCUCAUUUGCGACUGCCUUGAAUAUCAAAUAGGCAUCUCAACCUUAGUAAGUAAAAGAGAAUUCUUUAUCUGCAUCCUGCCAAUCCUGCUUCUUUCCCAGUAAUUUUUCACUCAGUAAUUUGAGCCAUUAUUAAUCUAUUUUCUAAAGCUUCAAAACAUGGAGUCAUUACCAGCUGUUUUAUAUACACCAUUCCAAGCCAUUAGAAAGUCAAUUCCAUUUCACCUGGAAGUUUAUUGCAAAUUUGACAAUUGUCUCUUACAUGAACUACUAAAAUAGCUUCUCAGCAGCAUCUGUGUGCUGCCAUUAUCCAUCCUUCCUCCAGUCUCUUCCCCACCAGGCAAUGGAAGUCAUCUCUGGCAAUAUAAUGCAUUUCACAUUAGUUUCAUUUUUCCAGCUGAAAAUCUCAAAAGUAUUUCAUUUACAUGCCUAAUAAAAGCUAAAGAUAUAAUCUUGCUCAGAACUAUAAGCUGGCUUCUCCACCUACCAUUAUCCUUUGCCUUGAUUACUCUGCUCUAUAUCAUCAUCUUGCAUACCCUAACACAUGACUUUUAUACUCAUUGCUCCAUCUGUUAUAAACAUACUGAUAAAUAAUGUUUCCUCUUUAGCAGUGAUUUCCUGAUCUAAUCAAUAUUUUGGUAUCAUAUAAACUCAUUGGAUUAUUAGUGAUUAUCACUAACCUGCUAUCAUACAAUACACAUUUAAUUUCUUUUCUCCUUGUUUAUUGUCUAAACUGCUAGGUAGAAGGGCACUUUAUCUAUUCUUAUCACAAACGUAGGACAACGGCUAGCACAAGGUUAGGAACUUACACGCUAUUCGAUUAAUUGUUGUUUAAUAAUUGAUUAAAAACUCCAGAACUUUGGGUUCCAUUCUUAUGAUGACAAUAAUAUAAUGCUAGGGAUGCCAAGUGAAUAGCAAGUUUAACCAAGUUAUCCUGUAUGGGGAGCCACAGUUACUUAAAAUGUCUGACAAUCCACAGUCCUGGUGAUGAUGUGGAAUAUCACUCUCUUAAUCAAUGCAAACAAUUUAUUUAAUAGUCAUAGUGCUAAAGAUGGCAUGCCCUCCAAAUGAGCAAUUGCACUCUUGGUUAUGCAUUUAUAUGAAUAUGUAUAUAGGAAUAGUCAUGAUAAAACUACUAAUUAUUAUAAAAUUUUUGGAAAAAGCAUAACUAUUAAAAAUGAAAUUGGUAACUUAAGACUACUCAAUACAUCAGUAAAAAUGAAUGAACUAAGCAAAAACAUGGAUGAAUUUCAAAAACGAAAUUUAUUUUCAUUAUUUAUUAAGAAAGAAAAUUUGCACUGUUUUCAAGUCUAAUACCAAACAGAACUAAAUGGUAUUUCUGGAUAAACAAAUUAGAAAAUAAAAUUAUGAAAAAUGCAAGAAAAAAAUUACCACAAAAGUUGGGAUAGAAGUUACAUUAAGAGAUGGCAUGGUCUUAUACAAAGAAAACCCUAAAGACUCUGAAAGACUCCUAGACUUGGCAAAUGACUGCAAUAAAGUUUCAGAAUACAAAGUCAAUGUCCAAUAGUCAGUAGUAUUUCUAUAUAGCAAUAAUAUUCAAGCUGAGAACAAAAUCAAGAACUCAAUCUCAUUUACAAUACACACACACACACACACACACACACACACACACACACACACACACAUAUAACUGAGAAAUACGUUUAACCAAGGAGGUAAAAUAUUUCUACAAUAAGAACUACAAAAGAUGGGUGGAAGAAACCUGAAAUAAAACAAACUAAUGGAAAAAUAUCCCAUGUUCAUGGAUUAAAAAAAAUUAAAAAUGACCAUGGUGUCCAAAGCAAUCUAAAGAUUCAGUGCAAUUUCUAUCAAACUACCAAUGUCAUUUUUCACAGAAUUAGAAAACAACAAUCCCAAAGUGUAUAUGAAAUUCUGAAUUGAAAAAAUGACCCAGAUAGCCAAAGCAAUUCUAAGCAAAAAGAACAAAGCUGGAGUCAGCACUUCACCCCAUUUCAAAUUAUACUACAAACCUAUAGUAACAAGAACAGCAUGGUACCAAUACAAAAACAGAUACAUAGUUUAAUAAAAUUAAAUAGAGAACCAAGAAAUAAAGCCACAUACCUACAACCAACUAAUCUUCAACAAAGCGUGCACAAAUAAACAAUGUGGAAAGGAUACCUUUUUCAAUAAAUUGUACUAGAAAAAAUGGAUAUCCGUAUACACAAGAAUAAAACUGGAUUCCUGUAUCUCACCAUAUAUAAAAAUUAACUCAAGAUUGAUUAAAUACUCAAAUGUAAAAACCUAUACAAUUCCUAGAAGAAAACCUAGGAAAACUUUACUGAAUAUCAGCCUUGACAAAGAAUUUAUGACUAAGUCAUCAGAAGCAAAUGAAACAAAAAUAAUAAUAGGCAAAUGGGACCUAAGUAAACUAAAAAUCUUCUGCACAGCAAAGGAAAUAAUCAACAGAGUAAACAGGCAACCUACAGAACAGGAGAAAAUAUUCACAAAUUAUGCAUCUAACGAAGUACUAAUAUCCAGAAUCUACAUGGAACCCAAUAAGUAAUAAACACAUUAUGUCAUUACAAAGUAGGCAAAUGACAUAAACAAACAUUUAUCAAAAGAAGACAUGCAGGUUGCCAACAAACAUUAAAAAAUACUCAAGAUCACUGAUGAUCAUAGAAAUGUAAAUCAAUAUUGAAGUGUGUAUUAGUCUGUUCUCAUGCUGCUAUGAAGAAAUACCCGAGACUGGGUAAUUUAUAAGGAAAAGAACUUUAAUGGACUAACAGUUCCGUACGGCUGGGGAACAUUCAGGAAACUUACAAUCAUGGUGGAAGGGGAAGCAAUCAAGUCCUUCUUCACAUGGCAGCAGGAAGGAGAAGAAUGAGAGCCGAGCAAAUGUGGAAUCCCCUUAUAAAACCAUCAGAUCUUGUGAGACUCACUCACUAUCACAAGAACAGCACGGAGGGUAACCGCCCUCAUGAUUCAAUUACCUCCCACCAGGUGCCUCCCAUGACACAUGGGGAUUAUGAGAACUAAAAUUCAAAAUGAGAUCUGGGUGGGGACACAGCCAAACCACAUCAAAAAGUGAUUCAUUUGACAUGGUCUUCCCUAUCUUCUCUCAUUUAGGGUAACAUUAUUUCCUUGAAUCAAAAGGGUAUCCCUGUAGACUUUGAGUUCAUCUUGACAUCUUUGAACCAUGGAUUAUCAAUUUGCAAAUGUUAUUUGUUGAAUUAUUGAGCUAUAUUCCUUGACAUGCUUUUAAGAAUGAUAUUUUCAUUAAAAUAAAUGAGGGACUCAUCCUAAUAUUUAGGAAGAUUUCUCAACAUCAUCACAUACAAUUAUGAAUUAUUAUGGACACAACAGUGGUAGUUUGGAUUUUUAUUGUGGUUAAACUUUUAGAAAGUACAAAGUAUUCAUAAAUCUACAUUUUAAUAUUUUAUAAUUCAAAUGAAUUUUAAGUAACUAUUUUGAUAUUCUAUAAAUAAAAAUGUCACCUAUACUAUAUAAGGAUUCACUCACUUCUCUCUGCAUUCUCAUCAAUACCUGAUGUGUUGUGACUUUUAAAAACUAGCCAUUCUGACUAGUAUAAGGUGACAUUUCGUUGUGGUUUUAAUUUUUAUUUCUCUGAUGAUGAGACUGAGCAUUAUUUCAUAUGUUUGCUGUCCACUUGUAUGUCUUCUUUUGAGAAAUGCCUGUUUAUGUACUUUGUCCAUUUUUUAAUGGGGUUAUCUAUUUUGUUGUUGUUGUUGAGUUGUUUGAAUUUCUUGUCGAUUCUGGAUAUUAGUACUUAGUUGGAUGCAUAGUUUGCAAAUAUUUUCUCACAUUCUUCAGGUUAUCUGUUUUCUCAGUUAUUUCUUUUGCUGUGCAGAAACUUUUUUGUUUAAUUAAGUCCCAUUUGUCUACUUUUGUUUUUGCUAAAUUUGCUUUUGAGGUCUUAGUCACAAAUUUUUUGCCAAGGCCAAUGUCUAGAAGAGUUUUUCCAGGUAUUCUAUGAGUACUUUUAUAUCUUCAGGUAUUAUAUUUAAUUCUUUAAUUCAUCCUGAGUUAAUUUUGUGGAUGGCAACAGAUAGGGGCCCAGUUUUAUUCCUCUGCAUGUGGCUUUCCAAUUUUCCCUGCACUAUUUAUUGAAGGGGAUAUCCUUUUCCCAGUGUAUGUUUUUUUCAAUGUUGUCAAACAUCCAUUGACUGUAGGUAGGUCCCUUUAUAAAUAUCCACUAAUAAAGUGACAAAGUGCCUUUGUCACUUUAUUCCUGGAAUUUCUAUUUUGCUCUAUUGAGUAUUGUGUCCAUUUUUAUAUCACUAUCAUAUUGUUUUUGUUACUAUAGCCUUAUAGUAUAAUUAGAAGGAAUGUAAAUUUGUCCCACCUCUAUUAAAACAGUAUGAAAAUUUUUUCAAGUAUUAAAGAGCCACAAUUCACUCUAUCAAUCCUAUACUGGGUGUAUACCCAAAAGAAAAAAUAUCAUUAUACCAGAAAAGAUAUUUGCACUCAUUUAUUUAUAGCAGCAAUAUUCAUAAUACCAAAGAUAUUGAAUCAACAUGUGUCCAUCAACAAAUAACUGGAUAAAGAAAAUGAUGUGAUAUACAUAUAUACAUAUAUACACACACAUACACGCACAAUGAAUACUACACAGCUAUAAAAAAUAAAAUCAUUUCACUUGCAGCAAUAUGGAAGGAUAAUUUUACACUUUAUGUCUUAGUCUGUUUUGUGCUGCUGUAACAAAAUACCUGAGACUGGGUAAUUUAUAAAAAAUAGAAAAUUAUUUUCUGAUAGUUCUGUAGGCAAGGAAGUCAAUGAUCAAGAUACCAGCAUGUAAUGAGGGCCUUCUGUUGCACUCUCAGAUAGCAUUAGUUUAAAUGGCAAGAGAAAGGCAGAACUCUAUUUGAGAGGGCUGUUGCAACCUUACAGCAUGAUACAUCUUGUGAAAUAUGGUUUUGAACAUUUUUAUUAAAAAUGUAGGCAUCAAAAUCUCUACCAUUUGUGUCAUGUUAUAAUAAUAACUAUAAAACUGCAUUAUUCAGAAUAUGUAACAAUAAAAAUUAAUAUUAAAAAGUUUUAAAAUGUA